AAAUUUUGGAGGGUAAAAACGAUGGCUAUGAUCCAGGAAGUGAAGAUAUGGAAGCUUACUUGCUGCAGAAGGUAAAGGGUAAAAAGGAUAUGUGGGGUAAUUUCUCAAUGCAUUUUGGAUCAUUUACUCAUCCAACAUUUGAUGAAAUUAGAAAGUAUCGUUCUUCUUCUAUGUCACUCUCAUGGACUAACACAUUGGUGGAAGGUAGAUUUGAAGCAAAAUGACUUCAAAUUAACGAUGUCGGAAGUGGGUUUUUGAAAUUUUGAUCCAUUGAUUGAUGGGUGCUGGGUAAUGGGAGAUGUAGAAGACAUAUGAUGCA